GUGCUGGUUGGUGCAUGUUGAGACCAAAUGGCAGUCAGCCAGAGCUGCGGGGAAACAGACCUGGUCUGAAAAGUCAACUGCAGACUGCGGUGAAGCAGCGUCUGCCUGCUGCUGCUUCAGUCUGCUUCAUCUUUCCAGAGGAAACGUUAAAAAACUGUUUGUGAGCAGCCUGAUGCUGAAGGGACCAGAUGGAAAUGUUCCAGGGCCCCAGCACGCGCCAGCAGACACCCUGAGCUCUGGCCAGGACAGUGAUUGUGAUUUAGCCGAGGCUAAGCUGAAGACUACAAGAUUAAGAAGGCCAAAACAACCCCCAUGAAAACAGAUACUGCUAAAUACCUGCUCGGGGCUGCCGUUUUCCGAGCCGGUGGGGCUGGGAAGCUUAAGGUUGAUGGGGUCCACCGCCAGGCCCUUCUGAGCGAGGCAA